AUGCCAUGAUGUGGACAUUUUCUUAACAUGCUUUUAAUCUUUCCCAAGCCUAACAAACUGAUUCAGUUUCAGUUUGCAAGAAAUUUGAAAUUUCUUGUCUUAACUU
rnacentral:snoRNA from 1 species